rnacentral:rRNA from 2 species
UAGGGAAUCUUCCACAAUGGACGCAAGUCUGAUGGAGCAACGCCGCGUGAGUGAAGAAGGUUUUCGGAUCGUAAAGCUCUGUUGUUGGUGAAGAAGGAUAGAGGCAGUAACUGGUCUUUAUUUGACGGUAAUCAACCAGAAAGUCACGGCUAACUACGUGCCAGCAGCCGCGGUAAUACGUAGGUGGCAAGCGUUGUCCGGAUUUAUUGGGCGUAAAGCGAGCGCAGGCGGAAUGAUAAGUCUGAUGUGAAAGCCCACGGCUCAACCGUGGAACUGCAUCGGAAACUGUCAUUCUUGAGUGCAGAAGAGGGGAGUGGAAUUCCAUGUGUAGCGGUGGAAUGCGUAGAUAUAUGGAAGAACACCAGUGGCGAAGGCGGCUCUCUGGUCUGCAACUGACGCUGAGGCUCGAAAGCAUGGGUAGCGAACAGG